AUGGGAAGGAUGGCCUUCAAAAGCUAUGUUGCACUGUGCCAUUCAGAGCCUGGGAAUUCUCCAGCAGCAGCAGACUAGCAUGUGAAGAGGCAUUACAAAGGCCAGUGACUCUGUCAUUAUCUUUUCUUUCGACAACUUCAUGGUGGAGAAAGCUUCUAGAUUUGGUGCUAAUUCUAGGACUGGGUAUAGUGAUCUAAUGGGUGCUUGACUGUUCAUACCAUUUUGAGUCCUGAGUAACAACAUCCUUUCUCCAGAUUACCAAAGAAUGAUAAUCCUCUGAGCCCCACACUCAGACCCAAGAUUUGGCAGGUUGAGACUUCCAAUCCUCGAUCCGGCAGGAUCUAUACCCCUGGUCAGCCAUAAGAAACCUCAGCGAAUGGAACUUCUUCCUUCAUUGGUCCUUGAGGAAUUAGAGUUCUAGGGGCAGAAACUAAAGCUGAGAUGAAAGGGAGCAGUAACUAAGGGGUCCUGGUGUUGAAGAGGAACUCCGUCAUCUGGAAAUUAAGGAAAUCUCAGAAACAGGAUUACAACCUUGUUUGUCGUCAAACAUGCUUUGACCUCCCCUUGACUGGUGUCAAGACUUCCUUAACCUUUUGACCUUUGCCCUCACCUGCCCUGUCUAUCGACCAAGCUUGCUUACACCACGACCAAGCUUACACCACGUUGUGAUCCCAUUCCCUGAGGAAAAGCUUCUAAAGACACAGACUGAAGUCUUUUCACUUAAUCUUUUAAACCUUUUGGGCUCUGCAACUCCAAAAGCCACCAAUGUUGAAUAUCAGCUAUGGUUUUAUUUUUGUCUAAGACAGUCUGGUGUAUCUGUGCUAGGCUUGACACUCAUUGUGUAGCUGAAGAUGGCCCAGGAUUCUGACUGUCCUGCUUUCUCUAUAAAAGGUUGCAAAAACAGCUCCUGAAACAAUACUUAACUGUGACUCUCUUUUGGGAAGCCUCACUCAGCAUAGUCCUGGUUGGCCUGGAACU
ensembl:lncRNA